CCUACGGGGGACUGCAGUGGGGGAUAUUGGACAAUGGGGGGAACCCUGAUCCAGCGAAGCCGCGUGAGUGAAGAAGUUUUUCGGUAUGUAAAGCUCUGUCAGCCGGGAAGAAAGAAAUGACGGUACCUGACCAAGAAGCCUCGGCUAACUACGUGCCAGCAGCCACGGUAAUACGUCGGGGGCAAGCGUUAUCAGGACUUACUGGGUGUAAAGGGAGGGUAGACGGUUAAGUAAGUCUGGAGUGAAAGGCCGGGGCCCAACCACGGGACUGCUCUGGAAACUAUCGACCUGGAGUUCAGGAGAGGUAUGCGGAAUUCCUGGUGUAGCGGUGAAAUGCGUAGAUAUUAGGAGGAACACCAGUGGCGAAGGCGGCUUACUGGACUGUAACUGACGUUGAGGCUCGAAAGCGUGGGUAUCAAACAGGAUUAGAUACCCUAGUAGUC
rnacentral:rRNA from 1 species